GUGAUUGCUUCAGCAGCACAUAUACUAAAAUUAGAAUGAUAAAGAAAAGAUAAGUAUGGCUCCUGAGCAAGGAUGACUUGUAAAUUCGUGAAGCAUUCCAUAUAUGU